UGCUUCACCUCCAUGAAGAACAUGGUAACAGACGGUCUGGUUGUUAGCUGGUAAGCUUUCAAUCUGUGUUUCUUCUGAUGCUGUUUCGAUAUUUAUCGACUAUGUUCAUGUCCAACUUGGUUUUUCUAAUUGUGUUUUUAGCUUUCUGGUUUGUAACGAGUGUGAAACACUUUUCGGACUGAUCACCAUGGUAACCGGUCGGAUAUGGGAAAAUAUCGGACCGGAAAUCAGCCAAUCACAGCGCAUGUAGCGUUGCAACCAUAUAAUAAAACUGAUUGUUAUACCAAAGCUUUGAGACAUCCCCCU